UACGAAGGGGGCUAGCGUUGCUCGGAAUCACUGGGCGUAAAGGGUGCGUAGGCGGGUCUUUAAGUCAGGGGUGAAAUCCUGUAGCUCAACUCCAGAACUGCCUUUGAUACUGAAGAUCUUGAGUGCGGGAGAGGUGAGUGGAACUGCGAGUGUAGAGGUGAAAUUCGUAGAUAUUCGCAAGAACACCAGUGGCGAAGGCGGCUCACUGGCCCGAUACUGACGCUGAGGCACGAAAGCGUGGGGAGCAAACAGG
rnacentral:rRNA from 1 species